UACGUAGGGUGCAAGCGUUACUCGGAAUUACUGGGCGUAAAGCGUGCGUAGGUGGUUUGUUAAGUCUGAUGUGAAAGCCCCGGGCUCAACCUGGGAAUUGCAUUGGAUACUGGCGGGCUAGAGUGCGGUAGAGGGUAGUGGAAUUCCCGGUGUAGCAGUGAAAUGCGUAGAGAUCGGGAGGAACAUCUGUGGCGAAGGCGACUGCCUGGACCAGCACUGACACUGAGGCACGAAAGCGUGGGGAGCAAACAGG
rnacentral:rRNA from 1 species